UCUUGUUGAUUUUCUCCUUUAAGUAUCUUUUAUAACUUUAAAUGAUGGUGGAGAGUAAUCUGGGCUGAAAUAGAGCCGUUAGAGCACAUUAAAUGGGUAUUAAAUGCAGUCAGAAUGAGCAAAAAACUAGCCGUUGCAGAGUUUUUUCGUCGCAGGAGUCGACUCAUAAGGUCGACUCAUGCACAGGGAUCGACUCAUAGAGUCGACUCAUGCAUAGGGGUCGAUUCAUGGGGUCGACUCAUGCACAGGGGUCGACUCAUGGGGUUAGCUCAUAUGGUGCAGAACAGAAAUUGACAGUUCUGUAUCUUUGGCUUGCACAGCAAC
rnacentral:lncRNA from 1 species